rnacentral:rRNA from 1 species
GAUGAACGCUGGCGGCGUGCCUAAUACAUGCAAGUCGAGCGAACAGAUAAGGAGCUUGCUCCUUUGACGUUAGCGGCGGACGGGUGAGUAACACGUGGGUAACCUACCUAUAAGACUGGGAUAACUUCGGGAAACCGGAGCCAAUACCGGAUAAUAUUUCGAACCGCAUGGUUCGAUAGUGGAAGAUGGUUUUGCUAUCACUUAUAGAUGGACCCGCGCCGUAUUAGCUAGUUGGUAAGGUAACGGCUUACCAAGGCGACGAUACGUAGCCGACCUGAGAGGGUGAUCGGCCACACUGGAACUGAGACACGGUCCAGACUCCUACGGGAGGCAGCAGUGGGGAAUAUUGGACAAUGGGCGCAAGCCUGAUCCAGCCAUACCGCGUGAGUGAAGAAGGCCUUCGGGUUGUAAAGCCCUUUUGUUGGGAAAGAAAAGCAGCAGGUUAAUACCCCGCUGUUCUGACGGUACCCAAAGAAUAAGCACCGGCUAACUUCGUG